rnacentral:rRNA from 1 species
GGUAGUCCACGCCGUAAACGAUGGAUACUAGCUGUGGGGACCUCGGUCUCCGCGGCCAACGCGAAAGUGAUAAGUAUCCCACCUGGGGAGUACGACCGCAAGGUUGAAACUCAAAGGAAUUGACGGGGGCCCGCACAAGCGGUGGAGCAUGUGGUUUAAUUCGAUGAUACGCGAGGAACCUUACCAGGGCUUAAAUGCAGGCUGCAUGGGGUGGAGACAUCCCUUUCUUCGGACCGCCUGCAAGGUGCUGCAUGGUUGUCGUCAGCUCGUGCCGUGAGGUGUCAGGUUAAGUCCUAUAACGAGCGCAACCCCUACCGUUAGUUGCCAGCAUGUCAAGAUGGGGACUCUAACGGGACUGCCGGUGCAAACCGUGAGGAAGGUGGGGACGACGUCAAAUCAUCACGGCCCUUACGUCCUGGGCCACACACGUGCUACAAUGGCCGGUACAGAGGGAAGCCACCCCGCAAGGGGGCGCGGAUCUACAAAACCGGUCACAGUUCGGAUCGGGGUCUGCAACUCGACCCCGUGAAGCUGGAAUCGCUAGUAAUCGGAUAUCAGCAUGUCCGAUGGCC